rnacentral:rRNA from 1 species
GUUAGGAAUAUUGGACAAUGGGCGAAAGCCUGAUCCAGCCAUGCCGCGUGAACGAUGAAGGCCUUCGGGUUGUAAAGUUCUUUAGCCGAUGAUUAUAAUGACUGUAGUCGGAAAAUAAGCCCCGGCUAACUUCGUGUCAGCAGCCGCGGUAAUACGAAGGGGGCGAGCGUUAUUCGGAAUCACUGGGCGUAAAGCGUGCGUAGGCGGUUUUGUAAGUUAGGAGUGAAAGCCCAGGGCUCAACCUUGGAAUUGCUCUUAAAACUGCAAGGCUCGAAUCUCGGAGAGGAUAGCGGAAUUUCCAGUGUAGCAGUGAAAUGCGUAGAUAUUGGAAGGAACACCAGUGGCGUAAGCGGCUAUCUGGACGAGUAUUGACGCUAGGCACGAAAGCGUGGGGAUCAAACAGGAUUAGAAACCCGGGUAGUCC